rfam:Ailuropoda melanoleuca scaffold112_179, whole genome shotgun sequence.
GCCUGGCUGGCUCAUUCUGUGGAGCAUAGAACUCUUGAUCUUGGGGUUGUGAGUUUGAGCCCCACGUUGGGCA